AUACACCAUGGAAUACUAUGCAGCCACAAAAAGAUAACGAGAUCAUGUCCUUUGCGGGAAUAUGGAUGAAGCCGGAAGUCAUAAUCAUCAGCAAACUAACACAGGAACAGAAAACCAAACACUACAUGUUCUCACUUAUAAGUGGGAGCUGAAUGAUGAGAACACAUAGACACAUGGGGCGAACAAC